AGUAAUGGAAUAAAUUUCUUAUUUAUCAUUCUAGCGCAUUUUAAUUCCACUAGAUUCCAUUAUGCAUCAUUACCAUUGACCAAACAUGUUCAUUCUCUUUCUUUCUUACUUUGCAUCUCACUGAUCAAUGAGAGCAGAAGAAAAACCAUAUUUCAAUUCUGGGUGUAGCAUAAUAGAAUUUCAAAUAUGGACAUGUAGCGACACAUAUAUUUAACAAAGUAUAACUUAAUCCUUGAAAAAGUUACUCCCUUUACAACCUUUCCCAGCAUGUGCCUCUAAAAACUUGACUUCCUACUAGUGUAAAAAAAAAAAUUAAAAUAUAUAUAUAUACAUGUAAUAAUUAAUUCAUCAUACAUCAUAUGUAAUCUUUAAAACGAGAAGAAAUUAAACUAAAAGGAGUCUAAAGAAAAAAAAAAUUUACUUGAGAAAUGUUACAAAUGUGAAGUGAUGGGAUACAAGAUUCAAGUAUCACAUUAAUUAAACUUUUUUUUUUGUUUUAAUUUAGGAUAGUGGAAUUUCUUUGAUUUAAAAAAAAAAACAAAAUUUAAAGCCAAUACAGGAGAGUGUCUCAUCCAAUACUAUAGAUUAUAAACAAGCCUUAAAUCUAUGUAAAAACCAUGGUCAUCUUAACUAAUGCACAGACCCCAACCCUGUAAACAGAAUCUACGGAUCCAAGAGAGAAAAACCUAGCAGAGGCAAGUUGGGAAUUCGAACCCGCAAACCCAUUGAAGAAGCAGAUGAUGUGCCAUUGCCAAAAUUCAAGACACACUCGAAACGACUAGUUGUGCCAGUCAUCUACCGUCGAUAGGGAGAAGAAACAAUCUAAAGAACAGAUACAUCAUCUAAGGAAAGAGCCCACGGCAACAACGAAGUUGCAUAUUCCAAUCUACAUAGAUGCAACAUAUCAUCAGGCUCUGGGAAUCGCAUAACCUAAAGGAACAGAAAAAAGACAAGGAAGAGAAAGCCCUUGUGGCAUCUCAUUCUCUUUUAGUUGAAGUGGGGGCGCAUCGGUCUAUGAUUUGUUGCCAAGCACUUGUUCAAGUUCUCUCUUGCUCUGAACUACCUGAUGAAGCUUGUUCUCCUCGCGAUUCAAACGGCUCACGACUUACCAAAAGGAAACCGUGACUCAUCCUCGGUCACGCAAAAAUGAAGAUCUAGUCGACUGUGAUAGUUUCCCGGUAGUAAUUGCAAACAAAUCAUAAAACAUGGUACAAAACAAUACAAUAGAAACAAAAUAGCCCUGAAGAUUCCCUCAAUAUGUACUGUUGGCUACUCAACCAAAAUUAUAUACAACCUAACUUAACUAUAGGGAGAGAAACCCACAAGUCUGGCAAGUACAGAGAGGGCCUUUCUCUGCAAGGGACAGAACUGGCAAGUACAGAGAGGGCCUUUCUCUGCAAGGGACAGAA
rnacentral:misc_RNA from 1 species